UUUUAUGGAGAGUUUGAUCCUGGCUCAGGAUGAACGCUGGCGGCGUGCCUAAUACAUGCAAGUCGAGCGAACAGACGAGGAGCUUGCUCCUCUGACGUUAGCGGCGGACGGGUGAGUAACACGUGGAUAACCUACCUAUAAGACUGGGAUAACUUCGGGAAACCGGAGCUAAUACCGGAUAAUAUAUUGAACCGCAUGGUUCAAUAGUGAAAGACGGUUUUGCUGUCACUUAUAGAUGGAUCCGCGCCGCAUUAGCUAGUU
rnacentral:rRNA from 1 species